rnacentral:pre_miRNA from 1 species
AGUGAAAUAGCUGAAGCAUAUGGUAACUCAAUAUUAAUGUGUUUGAGAAACUGCUAGACUGUUUUUUAAAGUGACUAUACCAUUUGAUGUCUCCAUAAGCUAU